rnacentral:misc_RNA from 1 species
AAGUUGUUCCGAUGACCCCAGA